rnacentral:rRNA from 1 species
UACAGAGGAGCCAAGCGUUGUCCGGAUUUACUGGGCGUAAAGAGCGCGCAGGCGGUCGAUCAAGUCGAGUGUGAAAGCCCCCGGCUCAACUGGGGAGGGUCAUUCGAUACUGAUCGACUCGAAGGCAGGAGAGGGUAGUGGAAUUCCCGGUGUAGUGGUGAAAUGCGUAGAUAUCGGGAGGAACACCAGUGGCGAAGGCGACUACCUGGCCUGUUCUUGACGCUGAGGCGCGAAAGCUAGGGGAGCAAACGGG